CGCCGCGGUUAUACGAGAGGCCCAAAUCGAUGAAUGUCGGCGUAAAGGGUGGUUAAGGAAUAAAUUGAAUAGAGAAAAACGCUCUUCAAGCCGUUAUACGCCUCCAAGAGUAUGAAGAUCCCCCACGAAAGUAACUCUAAUAAACCUGAACCCACGAUAGCUCUGGUA
rnacentral:rRNA from 1 species